rnacentral:rRNA from 1 species
UACGUAGGGGGCGAGCGUUGUCCGGAGUUACUGGGCGUAAAGCGCACGCAGGCGGUCUGCUAAGUUUGGAGUGACAGUUGGUGGCUUAACUGCCAAAGUGCUUCGAAAACUGACAGACUUGAGGGCUUCAGAGGGACACGGAAUUCCGGGUGGAGUGGUGAAAUGCGUAGAGAUCCGGAGGAACACCAAAGGCGAAGGCAGUGUCCUGGGGAGUAACUGACGCUCAGGUGCGAAAGCCAGGGGAGCGAACGGG